AGAGUUUGAUCAUGGCUCAGAUUGAACGCUGGCGGCGUGCCUAACACAUGCAAGUCGAGCGGCAGCGCGGUAGCAAUACUGGCGGCGAGCGGCGGACGGGUGAGCAAUGCUUGGGAAUCUGCCUAUCAGUGGGGGACAACCCGGGGAAACUCGGGCUAAUACCGCAUACGUUCUGUGGAAGAAAGCAGGGGAUCGCAAGACCUUGCGCUGAUAGAUGAGCCCAAGUCGGAUUAGCUAGUUGGUGAGGUAAAGGCUCACCAAGGCGACGAUCCGUAGCUGGUCUGAGAGGACGACCAGCCACACCGGAACUGAGACACGGUCCGGACUCCUACGGGAGGCAGCAGUGGGGAAUAUUGGACAAUGGGCGAAAGCCUGAUCCAGCGACGCCGCGUGGGUGAAGAAGGCCUGCGGGUUGUAAAGCCCUUUCGUUGGGGAAGAAAAGUGUUGACCUAAUACGUCGGCACCUUGACGUUACCCAAAUAAGAAGCACCGGCUAACUCUGUGCCAGCCGCCGCGGUAAUUC
rnacentral:rRNA from 1 species